GUCUCAGGUCGUAUCAGCCUGAAGGCGCCCGAUCUCGUCUGAUCUCGGAAGCUAAGCAGGGUCGGGCCUGGUUAGUAUCUUGGAUGGGAGACCACCUGGGAAUCCCGGGUGCUCGAGGCU
rnacentral:rRNA from 1 species